UACGUAGGGUGCAAGCGUUAAUCGGAAUUACUGGGCGUAAAGCGUGCGCAGGCGGUUAUGUAAGACAGGUGUGAAAUCCCCGGGCUUAACCUGGGAACUGCAUUUGUGACUGCAUAGCUAGAGUACGGUAGAGGGGGAUGGAAUUCCGCGUGUAGCAGUGAAAAUGCGUAGAUAUGCGGAGGAACACCGAUGGCGAAGGCAAUCCCCUGGACCUGUACUGACGCUCAUGCACGAAAGCGUGGGGAGCAAACAGG
rnacentral:rRNA from 1 species